AACGUAGGUGACAAACGUUAUCCGGAGUUACUGGGCGUAAAGCGUGCGUAGGUGGUUGUUUAAGUCUGUUGUGAAAGCCCUGGGCUCAACCUGGGAAUUGCAGUGGAUACUGGGCGACUAGAGUGUGGUAGAGGGUAGUGGAAUUCCCGGUGUAGCAGUGAAAUGCGUAGAGAUCGGGAGGAACAUCCAUGGCGAAGGCAGCUACCUGGACCAACACUGACACUGAGGCACGAAAGCGUGGGGAGCAAACAGG
rnacentral:rRNA from 1 species